UCUACAGAUUUGCACUGGCGCUGGCCUCUGUGGAGUGCGUUCCUGGGGCGCUGCUCCAUUCUGCGGAGCCCCAUCACAGCCUUGCCUGAGGUUUGACGGUCCGCCGGCCACGUCGGCUGUGUACUUCUGACACAGCAAGAUGUGCUGUCAGCCUCUGGGUGAAACUGUUAGAGCUUAGAGUGCUAAUCCUGCCACUCAGUCGGAGGGAAAUGCCCUUUCACUCGCGAGGAAGCAGCUAUCGGAUUGAGUCUACGAGUCAGGAUGGGAGAAGUUUGCUGUGGGUUUUCGGCGACCCCCCAGGUGGAGUCAUUUCCGUCUCUGGUUGUAUUUGCGGCGUGGUGGAAUGGAGACACGCCCGACAGGACAUCGCAUAGAUGCUGGUAAACCCUCUCAGUGAGAGGAAAGUCAGAGAACUUCGGGGCACGCUUCGCAGCUUCACGGUGCACUGACGUCACAUGACGUGAUGCUAGCCGUUCUAGCCUCCGGAAGUCAGAGUGAUACGAGAUGAAGAAGUAUCUUUUUAGAAGUUUAAAGAGGACAAUUAGAAUUGCUGAAACAGCGCUGUUGGUGUCAUGGCCUGGAUGCUCACCUCCGUGUAUGAAGACUGACGCACAUAUUCUGUGAAGCUCCGUUUUGGCCAGAGUGCCCCUCCCCUUUUGACUUUGUGUGAUACAGUCUACUGUUCUUAAAACAUAACAAGUGUUUAUACACUUGUCAUAAAAAUAUACUACUUUCAUUUUAUCAAGAACAUUUCAGCAUCCCUAGGAACUCAGUGAACGUUUCUGAUUUGCUGGAGAAGCACCACAGACAGUACAAUACGACCUUUCAAGACGGAGACCCGUCGCUGAGUGAGUGGAAAAUAGCAAUAAAUCUGAUAUAACAGUAAAGCUCAUUUUUUUGGUCAUGAGACAUGUAAAACUCUUUGUAGACUUGUCACUAGAGCUGUUUGGUA